CCCAACACACCCUCCAGGAUCCAUUUGCUUCCUGCCUGACUUACCUUUUGAUUUAGCCUUAUCCCCUCUUCCCUAUAUUUUCUACAAUGCAGGGCUGCUACAGAAUCAACACAACGCACCACUCUGUUUGGUUUUACUUCCUCUACCCACUGCAACCCUAAAUGAAUCGCCAUCAUCUCUGCCAUGUGAAUUGACAAGUGAUCAGGAAGCCUUCACUGACUACUCCUCAGCGUACCCUGACUUUGUGGAGGCAGUCAGGUUCCACCAGGCAUUUCAGGAAGCGCAGGAGGGACAGGCCCUUGUCUGGGACUUAAAUUCAAAAGCUUGCAGAGUCUGUGCGAGUCUGAGGACCCCAAAAAGAUCCGGAAGCCGCGAGCUCCCGGCACGCAGAUGGAGAACGCAGUCCUCUACGUCAGGAGCAGGGACAGACAGAGAGCUGCUGCUGCUGCAUACACCACAGCUGCCACCGUUGCAACCAGCAGCACCACCACAGCCACAGCCAGGGCCAGCACCGGCAGCAGCAGCAGCACAGCCUCUUUAUCGGCCACAAGCCAGGAGUGCAUAGUGUUUUAUGUUAUAGCUGUCUGAUUUAACCGGAGGACCUUUCUGGAGACAUUUUAGUGUUUGUCAUUAUAGAUGUUGUUGUGUCUCCGGGAGGCAUUCUCUGUCUGCGGUGGAAAUGCAGGCAAAGAUAAAGAAGCUGGUGGUCCCUAAGCCUGCAUUUCCAGGCCAAGUCCAGCCUAAAUUAAACACACAGUCUAUUGUAUUUUUUAUUUUCACUGUCUAUUUUCUGUUUCUUGUCUCUCAUUGGGUGAUUACAGCCUCCUUCAGACCAGCUCCUCUCUCAGCACCAUCUGAGGAGCCUUCAGAUGAAGAGCUGGUCAACAGAAAGACUCAUUUUUGACUCCCCUUGUUAUUUUGCAUUAUAAAUGUUUCCGUAAUCAGAAGGUUAGGAAACGUCAGGGUAAGUUUGGUUCAAUGAAAAACUAUCUGGUGUCUACCUGGUGCAAGUCUCUAAUCACUAACCCACAUGCCGGCCAAUCACCUGUCAAAACAUCACUAACGAGUGCAUCUGUAGCGUCACAUUUUCUUCAUCAUCCUUUCCCUAGUUACCUGCGUAACUCCUCCAGCUGAUGCCAGCAUCCCUCAACCAGUCUACCAUCAAACCACCUUCUGUGCUCCUCCAGUGUUCAUGAACACUUAUUAACACAAAAAUCUAAUUCUUUCAUGUUACUGAAACUUACUUUUAUUUCUCUUUAAGCCUCAGAUGUAAAGGGCCCCUCUCUCGCUCCUGCAGCAUCCACCUCUUGCCACCACCUCAGCAUAAGGAGGCUUGUCUGGAUGAGCCCACAGACGAGGAGCUGCUGGAGGCCACACAGGAGCAAAAUCUGCCGCCGCCUGCAGCUGCCACCCCGCCGUCGCCUGCUCCCUCCCUGGAGGAAGGAUGACAGGAGGAGUUGCCUGGGCCAGCCUUCCUCCCUCCCCCACCACCUGUUGGCAGUACUGAGCUCCUGCCUGAGUCCUGGCAGGCAGCUCUCACUGUAGAGCAGCAGCAGUGGAUCAGUUGGAUGCUGUUUACCAUGGACAGCAGGGGGAGGCCUCAUCAUAUCAGUGAGCUUAAUCUCUGGUGGUACCCCCCCCCAAAACUGGCCGAUGUACCACCAGCCUCCCACGUCCCCUGACCCCUUCACAUGUCGGCUGUUCCUCUGGAUGCCACACCGGAUCCAGGGUCCAUGACAAAGGCUGGGAUGUACAGGACCAUCUGGAGGGUCCUGGACAUCGAUGGCUGGUAUCUAAUGGCCACUGAGUACCUUGCGUGCCAUCGAUGUAAGAAGGCUGGAGGGCGGUCACUGGGCAUCAUAAGGCAGCUGCCCCCCAACUACAGCUGCCAGUUCCAAGCUGUACUUCAACGCAUGUGAAUUAUCACUCUGUACAUGAUAAAUAUGCACUCAGAUGAAGCCUGUAUAUGAGCAGUGGAAUUUUCAAUUUCUCAGGAUUGUCAUCAGACUAUAUAUGGGACAGGGUGUCCACUGGGAGAGGAGGUGCGCGUUCCGAGGAGGUAAACAGGCAGGAGCCUUCCAUAGUCACAACAGAGCAGUCGGAGAGGAGCAACGCUCAAAAGGACACUUUUGUUUACUUUUUUUUUUACACACAAAAUGUAAACAAACUACAACACAAAUGCUUCAAAACAAGACUUACUGAGACUUCACACUCUUCUGCAGUCAUUAUGUCUCAAUUAAACUGCUGUACAACCCCUGAAGCUCUUCUCCAGCUUUGCCGCAGCUGGGGAUCGAACCUAUGACCACCAAAGCUCUCUCGCUGACAAACACAGUUUAAUCCAUUCCUUACACGUUUGCUUUUUUGGUUUUGGAAAGACAAUUAAAAAGACUUGACCCUCCAAACUCUUUGUAUACAGAGUACUUAUCUUACGCCUUGCAUGCACACCAGUGUCACCUGCAUGCAUACAAAGCCAGACCCCCUCCUUCAAAGUGCUAACAAUUAAAACAUAUCUUAGCAGACGUACGUGGCAAGGACAGCCUACUAAAUCAAAGCCACAGUGUGAUCAGACACACUGUGGUGGGACUGCAGGCCUAGUUUGACCCCAUCAAGUCUUAAUGAGGUCCGCCGAGUCGUUAACCUGUACAUUUAAAUAACAUGCAUCAAUAUUAAUAGGUUAUUAAUGACUCAAAGCAAUUAUAUAUACAGUAGACUGAACAGAGUGCCAGGCAGACAC